rnacentral:rRNA from 1 species
UGAAACGGCUACCACAUCCAAGGAAGGCAGCAGGCGCGCAAAUUACCCAAUCCGGACACCGGGAGGUAGUGACAAGAAAUAGCAAUAGAGGGCCCGAUGGGUUUUCUAAUUGGAAUGAGAACAAGGUAAACAGCUUAUCGAGGAGCCAGCAGAGGGCAAGUCUGGUGCCAGCAGCCGCGGUAAUUCCAGCUCUGUAAGCGUAUACCAAAGUUGUUGCAGUUAAAACGCUCGUAGUCGGAACUUGGCGGGCGACGCAGGGCGUCUUUGCGGACGGAUCUGUAUCGGCCGCCUUUGUGGAGGGGGGCUUAGCGGUGCUUUAUUGCCUUGCUAAGUCGCUGCCACCGUUUACUGUGAAAAAAUUGGAGUGUUCAAAGCAGGCGUUUGCCUUGUACACAUUAGCAUGGAAUAAUAGAAUAGGACCUGGUUCUGUUUUGUUGGUUUGUGAGAAUUAGGUAAUGAUUAAGAGGGACGGUUGGGGGCAUUUGUAUUCUGCCGUUCA